GGGCGCAAGCCUGAACGAGCGAUGCCGCGUGAGUGAAGAAGGCCUUCGGGUCGUAAAGCUCUGUUGCGGGGGAAAAAAGGCAGCAUCAGGAAAUGGGUGCUGACUGAUGGUGCCCCGCCAGAAAGUCACGGCUAACUACGUGCC
rnacentral:rRNA from 1 species